rnacentral:rRNA from 1 species
UACUCCUACGGGAGGCAGCAGUAGGGAAUCUUCCACAAUGGACGCAAGUCUGAUGGAGCAACGCCGCGUGAGUGAAGAAGGUUUUCGGAUCGUAAAGCUCUGUUGUUGGUGAAGAAGGACAGGGAAAGCAACUGAUUCUUGUUUGACGGUAAUCAACCAGAAAGUCACGGCUAACUACGUGCCAGCAGCCGCGGUAAUAA